UACGAAGGGGGCUAGCGUUGCUCGGAAUCACUGGGCGUAAAGCGCACGUAGGCGGAUUGUUAAGUCGGGGGUGAAAUCCUGGAGCUCAACUCCAGAACUGCCUUCGAUACUGGCGAUCUAGAGUCCGGGAGAGGUGAGUGGAACUGCGAGUGUAGAGGUGAAAUUCGUAGAUAUUCGCAAGAACACCAGUGGCGAAGGCGGCUCACUGGCCCGGUACUGACGCUGAGGUGCGAAAGCGUGGGGAGCAAACAGG
rnacentral:rRNA from 1 species